UUCCGAACAGCUGUAUUUCGCCUUAGCCCUGUAUUUUUCAUUUCUUGACCUGUAUAUCGAUGUAUAUCUGUUGUAUAUCGUUGUAUAUUUGCCUUUUUCCACCUGCGUUUUUGGCCAAGAGCCCUAUUUCAGCUUCCAAACUUUGUAUAAAGGCUGACUCGAGAAAGCGGAGAUGUUUGGCGUCGGUGCGACUCAAAAAUGCACGUAAAGGGGUCCAAAUUGGACUCAAAUACACCUCACAUGCAAACAAAAAAGAUAAAGAUUAAUAAGCUAACAUAUGCUCUAUUAAAUUAAACACAAAGUAACAGUAGAGAGCUUAAGACUUAAAUAAUUAAGAAUUAUGUAUAUCAAGGGACA
rnacentral:lncRNA from 1 species